ACAGGAGUAGUUUAAUGGUAAAAUGUCUGUCUCCAAAACUGAAGUUCGGGGUUCGAGUCCCUGCUCCUGUGCCA
rnacentral:tRNA from 2 species